AUACGGAAGGUCCGGGCGUUAUCCGGAUUUAUUGGGUUUAAAGGGAGCGCAGGCGGAGAUGCAAGCGUGACGUCAAAUUUCGGGGCUCAACCCCGUCUCGCGUCGCGAACUGCGUCCCUUGGUUGCGGGAAGGGGAGGCGGAACUCGUGGUGUAGCGGUGAAAUGCAUAGAUAUCACGAAGAACUCCGAUCGCGAAGGCAGCCUCCCGGCCCGUCAACGACGCUCAUGCUCGAAGGUGCGGGUAUCAAACAGGAUUAGAUACCCUGGUAGUCCGCACAGUAAACGAUGGACACCCGCGGUUUGGCCUAUAUGGCUGAGCCGCCAAGCGAAAGCGUUAAGUGUCCCACCUGGGGAGUACGCCGGCAACGGUGAAACUCAAAUGAAUUGGCGGGG
rnacentral:rRNA from 1 species